rnacentral:rRNA from 1 species
AUGCAGGUGCAUGCUGCUCCGAGAGCACGGGCAUGGCUGCCACCCGAGGGUGAAGCGGUGAAGUUUAACUGUGAUGGUGCACUAUCGACCAUGGGAGAGAAGGGAACAUCGGCUGUGAUUUGCCGAGACAAGACAGGGAAGUUUCUUGGAGCAUCAGCACUAGUCUUUGAAGGCUUGCUCGACCCGGCGAGUUUGGAGGCGCACGCGUGCAGUGAAGCACUCGCCCUUGCUCGCGAUCUGAAUGUGCAGGACCUGGUGAUUGCGUCUGAUUGUUUAGAAGAUAUACACAUUAGCAUGAACCUUUUCUCUUCAGUUAAUUUUCGUUUUGAGCGUAGAGAAAACAAUUUCGAGGCCCACUCGGUUGCAAAAGGAGCUGCGUCUCUGCCGGUGGGCCGCCACGUGUGGCUAGGGAUCCUUUCAGAUAUUGCUUGUAUUCCGGAUGUGAUGAACUCUGAAUAA